AUAAAACCGACACAGAUCUGAAGUUUUAUUAAAACUCUCUGUGACAAAGCAGAAAGGCAUGAGCAUGUCCGUCUAUGCGUCUGCCGUCCAACAUUUAUGACAUCAUCACUUAAUUUUUUUUUUCUCCAAGUCACUUGGCGUAAGCAUGAGCACACUCAGCCUAAUGUGGUUCACAUCACUAGGUUUCACGUAGAGCAAGGACUUCCUGUGGAUGACAACGGCAUAACAACCUAUACUUCAAGAUGUGGGGACCAAGAGAGUUUGUGUGUUGCAGAGGCAAAAUCUUCGGUUUCAAGGUUUCCUUUGGUGGUGAUGGUGGCAGGGCAACCGGAGCGGAGCACACGUGUGUCAAUCAGAGCAGCGCUAUAGUUCUUCAAGGUCCUGGAGGCUAAUGAAGGCCUGAGAAAUUUGUGUGUGAAGAUGGUUCCAGUUCCAAGUCAUUUUCCUACUGCUUGGGUGGCCUGCUGAUUUCUCUGCGGCCUCCUUUGAAACUUCUCAAGAAGUGUUGCAAAUCAAGUAUGGGGUUAAUUACUCUGGCAAGAAGAGGCUUGGAAGUUGGGAGUCAAAAGGAAGGAAGGGGCAGAAGAAACAAAUAUGGAUUAUAAUAAGGAAAUAAAAAUAAAGAUUCAUGUUUCGAGCAAGCUAUAAA